rnacentral:rRNA from 1 species
UGAGGAAUUUUGCGCAAUGGGCGAAAGCCUGGCGCAGCAACGCCGCGUGACUGAUUAAGCUCUGAGGAGUGUAAAAGUCUGUCGUAGAGGAAGAAACUAUCCGAUAAGAAUAUUGUCGGAUACUGACGGUACUCUAUGAGAAAGCUCCGGCUAACUCCGUGCCAGCAGCCGCGGUAAUACGGGGGGAGCAAGCGUUGUCCGGAAUCACUGGGCGUAAAGAGCGCGUAGGCGUCCUAAUAAGUUUCUGGUGAAAUACUCCUGCUCAACGGGAGAAUUGCUGGAGAUACUGUUAGGAUUGAGUUAGAAGAGGGAAGCGGAAUUCCUGGUGUAGCGGUGAAAUGCGUAGAUAUCAGGAAGAACACCGAUGGCGAAGGCAGCUUCCUAGUCUAACACUGACGCU